rnacentral:rRNA from 1 species
GUCUAUGGCCACACCACUCUCAACGCGCCCGAUCUUGUCUGAUCUCGGAAGCUAAGAAGGGUUGGGCAUGGUUAGUGCUUAGAAGGGAGAAGAGAGUUCAGCGAACCCCCCCCUGAGCCCGUCACCC